rnacentral:rRNA from 1 species
GAUGAGCGCUGGCGGCGUGCCUAAUACAUGCAAGUCGAGCGAACAGACGAGGAGCUUGCUCCUCUGACGUUAGCGGCGGACGGGUGAGUAACACGUGGAUAACCUACCUAUAAGACUGGGAUAACUUCGGGAAACCGGAGCUAAUACCGGAUAAUAUAUUGAACCGCAUGGUUCAAUAGUGAAAGACGGUUUUGCUGUCACUCAUAGAUGGAUCCGCGCCGCAUUAGCUAGUUGGUAAGGUAACGGCUUACCAAGGCAACGAUGCGUAGCCGACCUGAGAGGGUGAUCGGCCACACUGGAACUGAGACACGGUCCAGACUCCUACGGGAGGCAGCAGUAGGGAAUCUUCCGCAAUGGGCGAAAGCCUGACGGAGCAACGCCGCGUGAGUGAUGAAGGUCUUCGGAUCGUAAAACUCUGUUAUUAGGGAAGAACAAAUGUGUAAGUAACUAUGCACGUCUUGACGGUACCUAAUCAGAAAGCCACGGCUAACUACGUG